AAAAACAGGAGCAUCCCUCAGAAACACAAGAAGUCUGUCUGAGAUUCGGUUACAUGUAAAGAUUGGCUUCUGCUGGCUUUGUGCUUACAGAAUUCCCACCAAGCUGCUCGCCUGCCUCUGAGUCACUCCCUCUUGAGCCUCCCUCUUUGGAUGGAGACCAUUACAGAAAACCACAGCCGAUCAAAAUGCAGAGAACAAGAGAUCAUGUGGUGCCCAGUCUCAACUGAUACAUCUACAAAACCAUCACAUUUAAAAGAUCAUGAACUCUAGAAACUUGCCUUGAGAGUGGCCGUCAUCUAAAGGAAAUGGUGGACAAGUGGACACAUGGACUUUGAAGGUGUUGAAGGAGUACUUCAGAACAGAAAAGAGAAAUAUCUAUCAUUUAUUCAGGGGAACUGCCAUUGCCUUCUUGGAAAAAUGGCUGGGCAUGGAGAAUCUUAAGAGGUCAUCACAUUUUUUGGUUCAUUUUUCAUCUAUCUUCUAGACAUUUUAAACUCACCACAGUCAUGCCUGGGGUCCUAUCUCAUUCUAAUUGGUUUUAAUGGCUGUAAAACCCUAGCAUUGUUUUCCAAUCUAUUGAUCUGGAGUUGCCUUGGGACAGGAGAAUAGUGAUGGUAGCAAGGCCUGCUAUAGAUUGGCAAAGGUAAAUAAGUAGGUAAAUGAAACUUUAUCCUGAGUUUACUCACAUGAUACCUACAUAAGGUGAUAUUAAAUUUCCAGCCAGGUAGAUCUACUAGUAUUUCAAUGCAUUCUUUUCAGAAAAAUUUACUGUCCCAUAACUAGCAGUAUGGGCAACUCCAGAUGGCUGAAGGGGCAGAAUCAUAGGGUUGAGGUUUUCUCUCUGAUAUAUAAGCUUAUUAUUGCAAUCUAUUUUUCCAACUCACCAACCAGGUAUGUCCUUCCUCCUUUUCCUCCUAUUCUUCUGCCUCCUUCUAAGGAAUGCAAAGCAGAGAGAGCAGGAGUAUGCAGUGGCUGAAACUACCCUAUAUGGAAGCAGAGAGCACCCCCCUUACCUCCUAAUGGUAGCAUUCACAGUCACAUAGAGGUCAUAUACAAUUAUGGGCUGAGAUUGCCAACUACUCCCAAACUGGGAGAACAGUUAGUCCUACCUGUUGGCUACACUGCAGCACAAUAAUAAAAUAACAACCAGAAGAAAUUACACUGCUGUUGGGAUAUAUCUAUAACAGCUAUGAUAAAUAGAAUGCAGAUGAGGCUCUUCCUCGGCAAUGAGAUCUCUGUGCUCCAUUAUGGAAGCGAAAAAUAAUCACAACAGAGUUGAUAGAAACUUAUUCAGAGUCUCAACAGCUGCUAUCAGCCAGGUUCAAUAACAUUUAUCUAAUGUCUCAGAAAUUUUGUAGCUAAAAAUAAAAAGAUAUGUAAUUUUAGGUGAUUGCAUUGGCUUUACCCUAGAAUUAGCCUGGGACUUAGUUAAGGCUGUUUUCAAGAGUCCAUUUAACAAAUGCAUAAUUAACAUAUAGUUCAGUUAUGUGUUCAAUGUUUCAUUUGGAAUUGAUGAAAUUUGUUUUGUUCUCACAGAAGUUAAUUAUAAUCUUAAUUAUUCAUGUUUUUCUUGUUUUUACUACAUUGUCUUUUGAAAUAAAU
ensembl:lncRNA